rnacentral:rRNA from 1 species
CAGCAGCAGCCACGGGAAUACAGAGGGUGCGAGCGUUAAUCGGAUUUACUGGGCGUAAAGCGUGCGUAGGCGGCUUUUUAAGUCGGAUGUGAAAUCCCUGAGCUUAACUUAGGAAUUGCAUUCGAUACUGGGAAGCUAGAGUAUGGGAGAGGAUGGUAGAAUUCCAGGUGUAGCGGUGAAAUGCGUAGAGAUCUGGAGGAAUACCGAUGGCGAAGGCAGCCAUCUGGCCUAAUACUGACGCUGAGGUACGAAAGCAUGGGGAGCAAACAGGAUUAGAUACCCGAGUAGUCCCUGUCUCUUAUAC